rnacentral:rRNA from 1 species
UACGGGGGGGGGCAAGCGUUGUUCGGAAUUACUGGGCGUAAAGGGCUCGUAGGCGGCCAACUAAGUCAGACGUGAAAUCCCUCGGCUUAACCGGGGAACUGCGUCUGAUACUGGAUGGCUCGAGUUUUGGGAGAGGGAUGCGGAAUUCCAGGUGUAGCGGUGAAAUGCGUAGAUAUCUGGAGGAACACCGGUGGCGAAGGCGGCAUCCUGGACCAACACUGACGCUGAUGAGCGAAAGCCAGGGGAGCAAACGGG